rnacentral:tRNA from 14 species
UUUGGUUCAACGGUAAAAUGUGAGCCUUCCCACCGUGAGAUGCGAGUUCAAUCCCGG